rnacentral:lncRNA from 1 species
ACUCGGGAGGCUGAGGCAGGAGAAUCGCUUGAACCCGGGAGGUGGAGGUUGCAGUGAGCCAAGAUCACACCACUGCACUCCAGCCUGGGCAACAGAGCAAGACUCCAUCUCGGUGUUGCGGGGAGGCGGGGGGAAGAAAAAAAAAAAAGGAACAAACCAGGAAUGUGGAACGUGGGGCUUGGCCUCUUCUGUACUUCUUUAUCCUUCAGAUCUACCUGCCUGUCCCAGGGCUGGUUGUGUGUGCAUGUCGCAGGUGGGGUCUAGAGCUUCCUAUGCGUGAAUGGGACAGCCAUCUGAUUCCCAGAAGAUGUAUUAACACCCUUAUGGCUACAGAUCCAAAACCACAUUCCCCAAUUGGUUUUAUUAGUAAAACCAAUUACAUUUGAUUUAAAACAAAAGCAAAUGUAAAUCACUAAAUACAGUGCCUGCUAGAGAGUAAACACACUGUAAGUAACAGCUGGUAUAACUAUUUCUGGACCCUAGUAUGACUAUCAGGCCAAGCACUUUCAACUUUUUUUUUUUUGAAAUGGGCUCUCUCUGUCGCCCAGGCUGCAUGAUCUCCACUCACUGCAACCUCCGCCGCCCAGGAUCAAGCAAUCUUCCCACCUCAGCCUCCAGAGUAGCUGAGAUUACAGGCAUGC